ACGGGUGAGUAACGCGUGGGAACGUGCCUUCCGGUUCGGAAUAACCCUGGGAAACUAGGGCUAAUACCGGAUACGCCCUUUUGGGGAAAGGUUUACUGCCGGAAGAUCGGCCCGCGUCUGAUUAGCUAGUUGGUGGGGUAACGGCCUACCAAGGCGACGAUCAGUAGCUGGUCUGAGAGGAUGAUCAGCCACACUGGGACUGAGACACGGCCCAGACUCCUACGGGAGGCAGCAGUGGGGAAUAUUGGACAAUGGGCGCAAGCCUGAUCCAGCCAUGCCGCGUGAGUGAUGAAGGCCUUAGGGUUGUAAAGCUCUUUUAUCCGGGACGAUAAUGACGGUACCGGAGGAAUAAGCCCCGGCUAACUUCGUGCCAGCAGCCGCGGUAAUACGAAGGGGGCUAGCGUUGCUCGGAAUCACUGGGCGUAAAGGGCGCGUAGGCGGCGUUUUAAGUCGGGGGUGAAAGCCUGUGGCUCAACCACAGAAUGGCCUUCGAUACUGGGACGCUUGAGUAUGGUAGAGGUUGGUGGAACUGCGAGUGUAGAGGUGAAAUUCGUAGA
rnacentral:rRNA from 4 species